UCCUGAGCAUCUAUCUAUCAUUUCGUGUGGCGAAGACUGGCUUCACCGCCGGACAGACAUCUUUGGAGUUUUAUGAAGGAGUCAACAACAUUGUGACUUGACUACAUUAGUUUUCAAACUCCAAUCAGUGGCACUCUUCAGUGAGGACGAGGAGAUGGCGAUAAUUGACAGCAUUGAAAUGACCAAGUCUCCCACUCCCAUGCUGGUGACAAAUAACACCUUCCAAGAUGUCAUGACCACAAGAGAAAUAGCACACUGCUCUUCUUUCAGAAGGAAAACCAAA